CUGAGCCAUCCCAUGCUUGGUGGAAAAGCUGUGGUGGAAACCAGGUCUUCUGUAGUUCAAGUGUCAUGUCAAACCUUCUUCCACCUGUAAAGCUGUCCAUGAGGCAUGGAUGACCAUUGAGACCUCACUAGAGUUUAUAACAAUCCCUGAUGAAACUGACAGAGGCGGUAAAAACAGAUCCAGUAACUUUGAGAGGAAGCCCACAGAUCUCGAGUUUUCAACAACUAGAUGAGAAUAGGAACAUUUAAACAUCACCAUGUCCUUUUUUCCAGGGGCUCCGACACCCUCUUCUGGUCUCUGUGGGCACGAGGCAUUCAUAUUGGGUAUAUACAUACAAACAGGUAAAACACUCCUACAUAUCUAAAAGGAAAAUGCAUGCUUAGAAACAAUCCUGUAGCUGCCAAUAUAUACCCUAUAUAGUUAUGACAACCAAAAAUAUCUUUGGACACUGUGAAGUAUUUCCUUGAGGAAAGAGAAGGAGCAGUUAAUUAAUCUACUCCCAGUUAAAAAUCAUUUAAUCAUGCUGGGCAGUGGUGGCGCACGCCUUUAAUCCCAGCACUUGGGAGGCAGAGGCAGGCAGAUUUCUGAGUUCGAGGC